rnacentral:rRNA from 1 species
GACGGAGGGCGCAAGCGUUGUUCGGAAUUACUGGGCGUAAAGCGCGGGCAGGCGGUCUGUUAAGUCGUUUGUGAAAAUCCGGGGCUCAACCCCGGAAAUGCAUACGAUACUGGCAGGCUGGAGACUGGUAGAGGCUAGCGGAAUUCCUGGUGUAGCGGUGGAAUGCGUAGAUAUCAGGAAGAACACCUGUGGCGAAGGCGGCUAGCUGGGCCAGUUCUGACGCUGGAGGUGACGAAAGCCGUGGGGAGCAAACAGG